GUGGGGAAUUUUGCGCAAUGGGCGAAAGCCUGACGCAGCAACGCCGCGUGAGUGAAGAAGGCCCUUGGGUCGUAAAGCUCUUUUCUGAGGGAAGAGCAAAGACGGUACCUCAGGAAUAAGCACCGGCUAACUCCGUGCCAGCAGCCGCGGUAAUACGGAGGGUGCAAGCGUUGUUCGGAUUUACUGGGCGUAAAGGGCGUGUAGGCGGAUAUGCAAGCUGGAGGUGAAAGCCCCGGGCUCAACCCGGGAACUGCUUUGUAGAACUGCAUAUCUAGAGAAAGUCAGAGGCAGGUGGAAUUCCAGGUGUAGAGGUGAAAUUCGUAGAGAUCUGGAGGAACACCGGCGGCGAAGGCGGCCUGCUGGGGCUUUUCUGACGCUGAGGCGCGAAAGCGUGGGGAGCAAACAGG
rnacentral:rRNA from 1 species